GGAGUGGUAACCGUAUGUUCCAUGUUAUUUUUUUUAUGGCUGUGAUUAAUCUUGUUUUCUGUCUAGGCUUAAGAACUCUCACUAGCAAUUUUGUUUAACCUUCCUAGGUAUCCAUUUUGUUUGACCUUUCAUAAAAAAGUAUUCUGAAGUGUACGAUGUCCCUACUUCCUCCAAGGCUAAAUCUUUCAGUAAAUAUCUGAUGGUCCUGAGCUCUUUCAGCUUCUGGGGAGUUGGGUCCUGAUUAUGUUGUGUCUCUGUCUUGUGGAGUUCCAGAAGCCUCUCCGCCUUAAUCUUUUUGUGAUGUGUGUCCAUUUUAAUCAAUGUGAGACAAAAGACUGUCUUAUGGGCCGUCCAAACUGUAGUUUCUGACAUAGUUAGGGUUUUAUUAGUUAGUAAGUAGUCUUUAAUCUUAUUUUAUAUUUGUUUUUGGAUCAUAGUGCC